GGAGGAUUAGCUCAGCUGGGAGAGCACCUGCCUUACAAGCAGGAGGUCGCGGUUCGAUCCCUGCAUCCUCCA
rnacentral:tRNA from 1 species